CGAUGAUUUCUAGCUUGCUAGAAUGAUUAGUGGCGAACGGGUGAGUAAUGUAUCGGAACGUAUCCAAUAAUGGGGGAUAACUAAUCGAAAGGUUGGCUAAUACCGCAUACGCCCUACGGGGGAAAGCAGGGGAUCUUCGGACCUUGCGUUAAUGGAGCGGCCGAUAUCUGAUUAGCUAGUUGGUGAGGUAAAAGCUCACCAAGGCGACGAUCAGUAGCUGGUCUGAGAGGACGACCAGCCACACUGGAACUGAGACACGGUCCAGACUCCUACGGGAGGCAGCAGUGGGGAAUUUUGGACAAUGGGCGAAAGCCUGAUCCAGCCAUUCCGCGUGAGUGAAGAGGGCCUUCGGGUUGUAAAGCUCUUUCGCAAGGGAAGAAACGAUGCAGUCGAAUAAACUGUGUUAAUGACGGUACCUUGAUAAGAAGCACCGGCUAACUACGUGCCAGCAC
rnacentral:rRNA from 1 species